GCUUUCAACUAAGAGUACUUGCUCAACUAAGAGUACUUGCUUUUACACGCCAAUAUUCUCGAAUUACAGUUGAAGUCUUAGAAACGAAUCGUGCCAUUGGUUUUUUAGUUGAUUUAGUUAUGCUGUUUAACUGAAGAUUCCGGAGAAGUUAAUUAAUGUCUUUUUUUAACGUUUCUCCCGACCAACCGCCAAAAGCGAAAACAAUUUUUAAAGUCAAAUGUCACGGGUCCUAGAUGGAGCCAAGGCGAAUUCAUAAAGCUCUUACUUUGAAAGGGAAUUUCUUAAGCAACGGCCAUUGGACGAUCUUAGGAGAUUACUAGAAUUACCGUACUUCUGCAAUUUUUGUAACUGACGCUGUGUUGGUAGUUUCAGUUUAUGUACAUAUUCAGAUGUAGACCAUUCAUCUUGUGGAGCUUGGAAGAAUAUGUACAUACAAAAAACAACGGAUUGCCGCGACAAUCUCCUCAAACAAGAUUCCCAAACAGGAGCCAAACCCAUCUUUACAGACGGCUCAAAGCUCCUUGAAAAAGCGGUUCCAAAAUUGAUUUAAAUUCUUCGAUGCACUGUUGCUGAGUGAAUCCAUCUCGAAAGUUGUAAAAUGUAAAUGUAAAUCAAAAAUACCAUACUUUAUGAUAAAGUUGUCAGUUGCCAGAUUGCAACACCAGCGGGGCAAGUCCCAAAUUAGGAAAUUUGCCCUUAAAAAUUUGCAAACUACAAAAUUUUGUGGAAUACACCCCAGUAAAGCUUCUGGGUUUACUUAAUUCCGACUCUUGCGUCCACAUCGCGCACCCUGGAAUCGUGAGCAACCUUUGUGCAAGUUGAGGUAACCAACGCGUAUGGAGGCUUGGCUCACAGCUAAAAGAGAGUUAGCUUUAGUGGAGCCAUUCCGACUUGUUCGGCUUGAGUGUUCGCUUCAGUCUAUUUACAGCGGUUGCGAGCGGGAAUUCGAAACUCGGUUUCAACGUCACCGUUGAUAAUCCUAAC